CAGAGGGCCUCCCAAGCUAGCAUGAAUCUGGACUCCACUCCUGGGGCAAAAAUCACGACCCAGCACACCCACCCGCUGGAAAGGCUGGCGGAGGCCUUUGCUAGUGUCUAGAGCCUUCCCAGGUCCCCUUGCGUGAGUGCUCUCGCCAGCCCUGUCAGGGAGCCUCCCUGCCUCACAGAUGAAGACAUGACACAAAGGAGCUCCUGGCUUAUCUAAAUCACCCAUCUGGCGAAGAAGGCCUGGCUCUGCGUCCCCUACACUGGGGCCAGCUGCACAGCCGGACACCGAGCCCCGCACACCACCCUGGUGAAGGUGGCCCACACACCCUUCCCGGAAGGCUCCCCUGGUCUGGACAAAGAGUCACCUCUCCCACUUUCGACCAGUAGCGGUAACGCUGCUCAGCAGCCUGGUCCUCAGAGGAGAAAACAGAGGUCCAGAGCGGAAAUGGACUUGGCCCUCAAACUUCAGCUGAACGGAGGAAGGUUAGACUCUUGGCUCCUGGAUCCCACUGCAUGCUGCUCUUUGGGUUCUGUGGAAGUCCUGGUCCAGAGGGCUCUGUGCAGUCUCUGCCUCCACUGGCUGUGACCUGCAUCCACAGCAGCUA